AGGGAAAGAAGAAUUCCCUGAAACCCAGGUUUUCUGGGAGAGAAAGGAAAACAACGAUGACUGAGUGCUUGCUAUGUGUCAGGCACAGUUCUGGUUACUUUAUUUUGAUUUGAACUUACCACAAUCCUCUGAUGGGAACAAUACUGUUCUAACCAUUUACAGAUGAGAAUACUGAGGCACGCAGGUGUGUGUGUGUGUAAAUGAUUUGCCCAGUGUUACCCAGCUAAUGAGAGGCAGGGCAGAGACAGGAUCCCAGGCAGUCUGGCCCCAGAGACUGUGCCCUCCCCAAGGAAGGCUUGUAAUAGUUACCUGCUCCAUGAAGAGACUCAAGGACGUCUUGUAGAGCCUCCAACACAGUGUCAUGGCAACCAUAGAAAGCUCCCCUGACAUUAACAUUGAGAUUCUUACUCAUUCAUCUUCUUUUCUUUAGAUGGAGACAAUGUUUUAAUAAAACAUGUUUAUAAAAUCAGGAAUGACCUUAGACUCCAACUUAUAACUACCAUUACAAUUUACAGUUGUUUACUGCAGGAGAACUUUCAGACACCUUUUCUCUUUAUUUUUGCUCUUUUCUUUAGAUUGAGUAACGAAACUAGACAGGUCAUUGUUAUAAAAACCAGUAACAGUUACUGGUUCUUGGAGUUGUCAAGGAUGCAUUUUCUUUGCAUUUUCAGCACUAUUCCACUGUAUCAAAAUGCAAAGACUAGGCUUUACCAUGACAUAUUCAGGCUUGGUUAAUUGUUUGGUUAAUUUUUAAAACAAAAUUUCUCUUUUGAGGAGAUUGUGUGAUACUCUUUUAUCCCCAAAUGAAAAUGUGGGCUCUGACUCUACCUGAUGUGCCUUUGGAUCUCUCUUUCAGAAACACCUACAUUGGAAUGUCAUCAACAGUGGCAAUAUCACAUGUGAUGCAUUUGCAGAAGCACAAAAUGCAGACCUGGAGAUUAUUACCACAUUUUCAAGAAAUGGGGUUGAUAAUUGUUAACAAUAUAGAAGCUGAAUUUAAAAUGUGAUGACUUGAUCAAAGGACUUUUUUACUGACAUUCAACAUAACCUCCAAAUUAACACUGCCUUGCUAAUAUUUGCAGGGUAUUCAUAACUUCUCAACUAAACUCCUCCCUUCAUUGGGAAAAAGAAAGUCACCAUAUCAAUGGUUUUUAGGUUUGUAGAUGUCUUUUUGAGAAGACCUGUCAGAAAAUCAGAUUAAAAUAACAAAAAUAUUGUAUAAUGUAUAUGUUGUAUUACCAGAGAAAAAUAGCUUCUCUACAAGAAAAGUAUUUCGGGAACAUCUUUAAUUAGUCCUUGGAAUUGAUUUAUUUUAUUUUAUUUUUUUUUGGUGUUGUUUAAUUUUCUGCUCCUGUCACAAAAUAUCUGUCAUAUUGGAUCAGGUUAUUUGAUCUUCAUAUCCUAUUUCCUCUUUCCUCCUAACACUGGUGAGCAUGGGCAAACACUUUUUAAUUAUCCUGAUCAAGUGUGGGGGACAUUCUUUUGCUGACCCUACUUGUAAUCAACUGUGAUCUCUGAGAAGCAGGCGAAUUGAUUGCUUCUCUUCUCCCCAACUACCCAGAAGAGAGGAUCAUACAUUAUCCGGCCCCUUUGAAAAUUCCAGCUCAGUGAUUGAUUUUAUGACUGCCUGGGGCAGCAAAUUCCUCAGCAUGAAUUCUACCAGCCCAGACUUAGUAAUUCUAACUUGAAAUCGCUCCUCAUGAGUGAAUCUGCACCGUAUUCCUUUCCUGUCCUGCUCUGAAACUCUGCCACGCCUGAAAUACAUUUCUUAAGGGACCUGAGCGUAUGAUUCGUGCAGCUCAAGGAGGAUAGGUGGGAGCAGUGGAAGCUACUGUUCUGGUAAACUGGCAAAGAAGCUCAUCUGGUGCAGAGACUUUUCUUUCAGGGCACUCCUCUCAGCAUUAGGCAGCACACGCAACGUAGAGGUCAUAGAAACCGCUUUUCCAGGUUUAAAAAUAUCCCAAAUGGGGUGGAGUCAAUUCAGAAUAGCAAUGAUGACAACAAUAAUGCAAGAACAACCUAAACUAAGCACUCAUUAUGUCAGAUUCUGUGUCAAGCAAUCAGCAUCUAUUAUUUUACAUAAUCCUUAUAGCAGCUGAAAGAGGACUGAUGGGCCAGACCCUCUUAAAACCCAGCUUGUGGCCAUCUUUCUGGGCACUCCACCAGAUCCAAGUAUCCUACAGCUCAACUUUUCAAACCUACCUUGUUUGUAAUUCCUAGGCAGGACUCUGAGCUCUGCUGUCAUAUUUCAGUUUUAGUUAUUCAAAAAUAUUUUGAUCCAAAUGUGCUCUGUCAAACUUUAUUAACCUGAUAUGGCUCAUUUUAGUGCAUGCCUGUUCUUGAGCCAUAUGGCCUGCAGAAGUUACCAGGUUUCCUUGUUUAUCCUUACUUUAAAAAAAAUUCCAUAUGCUGUCACCUCAUGACACAACCCUGUCUAUGCAGUUGAAAUGAGAAAACUAGCUAUCUGAUCUCACGGAGACCACUCAGCUGGUAGAUGCACUCAAUGUUUUUUCCAUUUCCAUGGGUGUGUUGGCAUUGUGGGAAGCCAUAGAUUGCUAAUCAAGAAUUCACAGGAGAGAAUGUGGUUUUUGUUUGUUAAAUUCUAAAAAAUAAACUCAACAGAAUAAAAUACAGCUACAGUGCAUUUAUUUUUCAUUGUUAACACAUAUCUUUAUG